rnacentral:lncRNA from 1 species
CUGGAGUGAGCGUGGAGCAUGUUCUUCAACUGCAAUUGCCUGUCUUAGAAUUAUUGAUCAAAUUUGGAUCUCUGUGUGCUGUCCUCCAAUUUAAUACUUUCUGUGUUGCUGUUUUAUUUUCUUUCUUCUGGAACCUGGCAAAGUGCGUCAAGCGAUGAGGCUUCCUCUUUGAAGAUCACAGGUGAGAAGAUUAGGUGCUUUCUCAGAAGCCCAGCAACCUGAUGGGAGUGUGGAGUGAGCAAGACCCAAAUCGGAGCUUCAUCCCUGCAUGGUUCAUUUUGCUUAUUUGGCAAACUUGCCCUGCAGAAUCUACUCAAGCUUCCUCAGUUUCUCAAAUCAUUCUUGGGCAACAAAUGAACAAGAAAGAGGACGUCUUAUUAUCUGGUGUCUGGCUUGCUGAUUUAAUAACCUAGGAGACAGUGUUUGAAGAACACAAACUCUAAAGUCCUUCACUUAAAAAAAAAAAAAAACUUUCCCAAAUUGCUUACCAUUUGGAAAAAUUGCCUUACCUUCUUCAGUCAUCUCUGAUGUUGUCAUCCUCAGAGUAAGAAGUACGCAUUCAUAAGGAACCAUAACGUCCUUCAGGAAAUCCAGUACACCCUACAAUUUUACCUAAAACUUUGAUGUUGUUUUUUCUGAGCAUUUUACCUUCUAGGGAAAUGGAUCUCAUGCUGUUUAUCAGUUUCUGAAAGUUGUUAUUAAUCUCCCCUCAUCCCAAAAUUGAAGAACUUUGCUUAAAUCUUAGAAUCAGAACUUUGGCUCCAGUAAUAAAGACUUUUCAAUAUCUUUAUCUGCCAUUGAGUCUUACCUAACGAAAUAAAGCCUC